GGGCGGGGACUAGAGUGGGGUCCGGGCCUGCGGGGCGCGCGUUGCUGUGCAGGGGACGCGUGGGUGUGCCUGGGCCCCUGACAGUGCACGAAGCCGAGCCUGCAGGGUUCUGCCUGGUUGGGUCGUGGCCGACGCUGUACUCCGUACCCAGAACCCCUUGCGCUGGCGCAGCCCCCGAAGUUCAGCAUCACCUGACCGGGCCUCUUCUGUAAUCCCCUCGGCGAUGCCCGUCCCGACUCCCACCUCACCCCCACCCUGACGGCCCCAGUCCACGCGCCACUCUUCAAGUCCACUCUUUAUUUCCUUAGACCGGCUUUACACUGAUCAUUUGAGGCUGGGAGAGGAAUGGGGAUUACAGGCGAGCCUGGUGUAGCACCCGGUCGCCUGAGUACUGUGAAUUUUCUCCAAGUUUGCUCUUGGAAGACCUGAGGUAGCCUUGUCCUGUACUGCCCCUCCUCCUUCAGUGGGGCAGCUCCAGGACGAUUUUGCCCACAUUCUUGUUGGUCUCCAUGUACGCAUGGGCUUCUUGGAUUUCAGUUAUGGGGUAGACUCUGUCCAGAACCGGCAGUAAACGUUGAGGGUUCCCCGUGGAGAAGUGAGGCAGAAUUUGCUCUGUGAAAGCCUUCACCAGCAUCUGCUUGUACUAAGAUAAGGAAAAGGAGACCAUCAGCCUGGACAGAGGCCUUACCUUGCCACUCCCCACCCUGCUUAGUCUUUCUGCUUUCUCUGAAACUUGUACACAUCUGAAAAGUCACACAAGGGUAUGUAAUCCCUUCACUACCAGCAUGUAUGUGCAUGUCCCUAGAUUUGCAAGCUCUGUUCUGUCCCAGAUAAAGACCAAAGCUUGGAGAAAAUGUUAGUGUCACUGAAAGCUGAAGGGCUGUUUUUAAAUAAAGACUUCCAAGCAGGAGGCAGCCACAGACAGGACUUAAUAUAGGCUCAAUUCAAAAGGGAUGCUUAACCUCUGCUAUCCCCCAGCAGGUGUGAAACCCUGUUACGAAACUCCCAAAGCUGGCACCUGCUGGAAUGCCACACAGAAAAGAUUUCAUGAAUGUAUAAUCUGUUAAAGGUAGAAGCUUACUAACCUUACUUACCUAAGAGGCUUUCUUAGCACACUGAGAACACUUCUGCCUUUGAAAACAAAGUCUUGGAACUAUUAGUAGUAUUUCCUAAUAUGGUCAAUGCUUUGUUCAUUGUUAUAAAGUUUACAUAAUACAUUACCCUCUUUCCAAGAUGUUGAGGCCUUUAUCAACCAAUUUUAAUUAGUUCUGUGAAAUUAGGUUACCUAUUUAUCCACAGAGGGGCAGGUUUCUAUUAAUACAUAGGCUCUCUAACUUAAUAUAUGAUCUUACUUUCUCAGGAUUAUGUGAAUGAAUCACACUUUAAUGGAUCAUAGUUAAAUCACGUUUUCUUUUCACCCAUCACUCACCUUUUUGUCCCUAGAUCUUAGCAGACUGGUGAUCAGACUUCCUCUUUUAAAAAGCAGCUUUGAAAACAGAGGCCCACUGAUGUCAGCACCUCCCAUCAGACCAUAGAGAACCCAGCGACCAUCAAGAGCCAGGCAGUUGACAUUUUUCUCCCAGUAGGAGCCGCCUAUGCAGUCUAGAAUAAGGUUGACUCCAGCGCCUUUCACAUGAAACACAGAUAUGUGAUGCUAGUCAGACACAGAAAGCUUGGUGUAAAGUAAGAUUACAUGGUAUAUUUGUGGAAAUAUGGGUAUAAAUAAAUACAAGUGCAAGCAGUAAAUCUAUAGGUUGGAACUCAAAACAUUGCUUAUAGAAACAUGGUUGUAAAUGGAGUUUAGUUGGCUGAACUCUAUUAUACAUGUGUGAUAUAGUUCAUAUUUUAUGAUCCCUGCCACAGCAGGAGGGAAAUGGGGCAGCACCACGAUCUGGUAUUUCCCCUGACCUCCACGUAAGUAGAGAACCCACUGGCACCCAGGGGAACAGGGGAGAUCCACCCCAGGCUACAGGACAGGCUAGUCCAUAUCUAAGUUAUCAAGUGUCUGAGCUGGGCUGCCUGAAUCAUGGCUUUGCUAGCUUUGUUUUCAUCUCUCCUUUUUGACUCAUGUGGAACAGUGGAAGGGUAUGAGCCAAAUAUAUGCAGAUUCAGUUUCAGAAUAUAGAGGCAUACACAUCUACUCACCCAUUUAGGGAGCUACCUACCCAAGCCUACUCUGAUCAGCUCCAAACUGGUUUCUGCUCCUGUUAAUUCACUGCAGAGUGGCUGGUUGGGAAAAAGAGGUCCUGAAUAAUUCCAGGCCAACUCUGUGUGAUUAUCCACUUUCUAAAAAGUGUAUGAAUCAUAUCACAAGAAUGCACAGGAAAAUCAUCUUAGUCCUAAAUACUGCCUGCCUGUCUCCAAUGGUCAAACACCAGAGUACUAGAAUUUGGCCUGGGCAGUUUUUGUGCUUUUAGCAGAGGGAAGACAGAUCCAGAGGCAACUCUGAGGCUGGUGAGGAUUUUAUUUAAUCAUCUCUGAAACUCCCGCUGAAUUGCAGAAGCUUUAUUUACCUUUGCUGAAUUUCAGUGUUGCUUCAGAAAAAUCCUCUUCUUUGUAAUUGAAUCCAGCAGCUGCUCCGAGCUUUUCUGCCAUUUGAAGCUUGUGCUGGGAGCCAGCUGUGACCAGAGGAAUAGCUCCAGCCAUCCGGUUUUUCUAGGGGCUCUGUUAUUUGUGACCACAAUGAAAAGUUCAGACAAUGAUGAUGUGAUAACUGACAGACUUCCCAAACUCAAGAGCUCAAACGAAUGGCUGGAGCCCCAGCCACUUUCCUUCAUGGAGGCAUUAGCUAAAGAAGAUAUUGAUGCAGCUAUUCAAUCAAUAUUAUACAGAGAAAAUUAUAUAAUUAAGGAACUAGGUAAGUAUUUAAAGCAUCAUGACUUCUUAAAUGCAAGAAGAAAAGAGAUAUUAUAUAAAAGAUGGGUUGAUCAUGUGGCAGAUCCUCUCCAGAAGAAAAUUAUAGAAAAUGUUACUUCACAUAAGAAGAUUAAAAAAAGGAGACAAGAGGAAUUAGAUGGUUUUUUAAAAUACGUAAAUAAAAAGGGAAAUGCAUUUAUAGAGCAUUAUGAUCCAAAAGAAUAUGAUCCUUUUUACAUGAACAAAGAGGACCCAGAUUUUCUGAAGGUUACAAUCCCACCAUUUCGUGACCCUUUGAAAAAGGCACAAUAUGACAAAGACGAUGGAAAAAGAAUUCUUCUGCAGUGUGAGACUGGCAAAAUAUUUACAAUGAAAGAAUUUAAAGAGGUUGAGAAGGCCAAACUGCAUUCCAGAUUUCCAGGAAUUUCUAAUUCAAGGCACUUUAUGACUCCAAAUGAGUGGCUUAAACUGCCUACAAACUACAUAGAAAGUGAAUUUUGUAAAAGGAGCAGGUUAAAAGUAAAAGUGAAUUUUAACGAAAGUAGUUUUGACUUGAAACCCUCUGCAAAAACUCCUCAUCUUCUGGAAUCCCAGGAAGAAGAAAAAGCAGUUGUUUACAAGUUUUAGCAACCAAGGAGCACACACCCUGAGCCUUGACCGGUAAAAGAGGACACAAAAGAAGGCUGCUUCAAAGGAAGCCAUCUGCCAGCAGGAAUCAUUCAGGAUGAGGACCAGGAAAGACACUCAAGAAUUGUUCUAUGUCUAAGAAGAGCAUCUGCAAUAAACUUCAUCUUUUGAGUCCAGUGUCUGUAUGAUAAUUAAGAAAUGACAGUACUGUAUAUUGACAGUUAUUGCAAAUGUAUUUCCCCCAGGAGUUAAGAAAUGUUGCCUGAAAGAUACAAUAACAAUACUAAUAGCUACUUUACUUAGCGCCCAUCUCAGUUCACUUGCUCUUUCCCUAAAUUGUCAGGCACCCUUAAAAUCCACACCCACAUAUUCUCCCCAGGUUUCUCCAACAGUCUUUAGAAAAUUUAAAAAUUCAUUUUGAUUACCCACGUGCUGAUUCUGAGUCUGCAAAGUUACAAAAAUUCAUUUUGAUUACCCCUCUGGCUCAUGUUGAGUUUGACUCCUAGUCACAGAAGACUUAGUAGGACCUGGAGCAUAGGAGGAGAGACUUUUGUUUUCCUUAGGUAAAAGGGGCACUAAAAAUCAAUCCUCGCUUCUACUUGUAGCCCUGGAUCAUACAGAUAAAUGGCAUUGGCUAGAGAAGACAUUGAUGAAGCUGUAUACACGAUAUUAUUUAGAGAAAAUUAUGUUGCGAAGGUAAGAGUUGGCUACAGAGAGUGGAUUCCAAGUGUGUU